CUCUCUCUCCCCUCACAGCGAAGUCGUCGUCUCCUCCCACUCGAUGCCGCAACCUCGUGAGGGCAAGUGCACAGGUUCCAUGCCCACGCCCCCGUCAAUCACGCGAUUUCCUUGCCGUGAAUGUCGUCCAAUCUCUCCUCGCCGUCGGCGUUGCGCACCCCCACGCUCUCAUCCACUCCACGACUCGCCUGUCCUCCAAGUAAGUGGGCACGUGGCGGAUCCGGUGCAGCCGACCCUGGGAGGAGCGCAUCGCGGCCUCCACGCCCUCAUCCACUCCUACACGUGCCGGAGGUGGCGCUGGCCAAGUUGUCGGAUGACGAGGAAAACGACGACGCCUACUACUACGGCGCCGGUGACACGUCGUGUUCCACACUGAUGACUUCGAGCACGGCGGCGUUGUCUACUCGCUCCUGUUCCUUCUUUUCCUCCUGCUCUGCUGGUGCGUGCCCGUGGUCGGCUACAACAUGAACUUGGCCUCUGUCGGCCAGGGUGCCUCCGACAAGCAGUUCGGCACGCUGUCGCGGUGGCGGUUCAAGGAGCCCGACGUGGCAACGAAUCGAGAGCGCGAUGACCAGGUGAGUAAAUUAAAUUAGAUUCGUCUCUCCAUCGUCGAUGAGUGCCACGACCUCGAGGUCCAGCUCUCUCCUCCUCAUUCCCGCCUGUCCCCAGAAGCAGUCGCGUGCUUCGCGGUGCCUCACUCUGCUGCUACACCAUCGCCGCCGCCGCGGUGGCUGAGCAGAGCCGCAUCAAGGCGCAGAACCCCAUCAUCGAGAUGGACGAGGAUGAGAUGACAGGGUCAUCUAGAAGAUGAUAAAGGAUAAGGUCUAUGGAUUUUAUAAUUGUUUUCUGGUGGUUUUGAUCCAUAGUAACCUCUAAUCUGAUCACUUGAUGGUUUGCUGAUGCGAGUGGGACAUAAUGGGAUUGAAAUGUGUGUAGCUCAUCUUCCCAUACCUGGAGUUGGAUGUGAAGUAUUACGACCUUAGCAACAAGGGCAAGUCUUCACUAUGCAAACAUGUACUUGUACUUCGGGAUAGUGCUAUUGUUUCCCUGUUGUUUUUUUACUUCAGCUACAAUGUCUCCUUCAGUCCAAAACAAGCUGGCUAGCAUGCUACAUAUUAUUUGA